rnacentral:rRNA from 1 species
GGCGAACGCUGGCGGCAGGCUUAACACAUGCAAGUCGAGCGGGCAUCUUCGGAUGUCAGCGGCAGACGGGUGGGUAACACGUGGGAACGUACCCUUCGGUUCUGCACUACUCUGUGAAACUGGAGCUAAUACCGGAGACGCCCAUCGGGGGAGAGGUGGAUGGCCGUGGGAUCGGCUCGCGUCUGAUUGGCUGGGUGGUGGGGUUCCGGCCUACCCAGGCGACGAGCGGGACCUGGUCUGAGAGGAGGCUCAGCCACGCUGGGACUGCGACACGGCCCCGACUCCUACGGGAGGGAGCAGUAGGGUAUACUGGACGAUGGGCGCAAGCCUGAUCCCGCCGUGCCGGGUGAGUGAUGAAGGCCUUAGGGUUGUAAAGCUCUUUUGUCCGAGACGAUAAUGACGGUACCGGAAGAAUAAGCCCCGGCUAACUUCGUG